rnacentral:rRNA from 1 species
CCACUCGAUACUUAGUACGGCGAGUGAAGCGGUAAAAGCUCAAAUUUGAAAUCUGGUACUUUCAGUGCCCGAGUUGUAAUUUGUAGAAUUUGUCUUUGAUUAGGUCCUUGUCUAUGUUCCUUGGAACAGGACGUCAUAGAGGGUGAGAAUCCCGUUUGGCGAGGAUACCUUUUCUCUGUAAGACUUUUUCGAAGAGUCGAGUUGUUUGGGAAUGCAGCUCAAAGUGGGUGGUAAAUUCCAUCUAAAGCUAAAUAUUGGCGAGAGACCGAUAGCGAACAAGUACAGUGAUGGAAAGAUGAAAAGAACUUUGAAAAGAGAGUGAAAAAGUACGUGAAAUUGUUGAAAGGGAAGGGCAUUUGAUCAGACAUGGUGUUUUUUGCAUGCACUCGCCUCUCGUGGGCUUGGGCCUCUCAAAAAUUUCACUGGGCCAACAUCAAUUCUGGCAGCAGGAUAAAUCAUUAAGAAUGUAGCUACUUCGGUAGUGUUAUAGCUUUUUGGAAUACUGUUAGCCGGGAUUGAGGACUGCGCUUCGGCAAGGAUGUUGGCAUAAUGGUUAAAUGCCGCCCGUCUUAA